GACGUAGGGUGCGAGCGUUGUCCGGAUUCAUUGGGCGUAAAGAGCGUGUAGGCGGCCAGGUAGGUCGGUUGUGAAAACUGGAGGCUCAACCUUCAGAGGUCGACCGAAACCAUCUGGCUAGAGUCCGGGAGAGGAGAGUGGAAUUCCUGGUGUAGCGGUGAAAUGCGCAGAUAUCAGGAAGAACACCCGUGGCGAAAGCGGCUCUCUGGAACGGUACUGACGCUGAGACGCGAAAGCGUGGGGAGCGAACAGG
rnacentral:rRNA from 1 species